AGAGUUUGAUCAUGGCUCAGAACGAACGCUGGCGGCGUGGAUAAGACAUGCAAGUCGGACGAGAUUUUUCGUUGUAGCAAUACGAUGGAGAGUCUAGUGGCGAACGGGUGCUUAACACGUGGGCAAUCUGUCUUAAAGUGGGGGAUAGCUCGGCGAAAGCCGAAUUAAUACCGCAUGUGAUUAGAGUGGACAUCCAUUCGAAAUUAAAGUCGGGGCAACCUGACGCUUUUUGAGGAGCCCGCGGCCUAUCAGCUUGUUGGUGAGGUAACGGCUCACCAAGGCUUUGACGGGUAGCUGGUCUGAGAGGACGACCAGCCACACUGGGACUGAGACACGGCCCAGACACCUACGGGUGGCAGCAGUCGAGAAUUUUUCUCAAUGGGGGAAACCCUGAAGGAGCGACGCCGCGUGGAGGAUGAAGGUCUUCGGAUUGUAAACUCCUGUCAUUGGGGAACAAUGCGUAAAUAUUAACUGUAUUUGCGUUGAUAGUACCCGAAGAGGAAGAGACGGCUAACUCUGUGCCAGCAGCCGCGGUAAUACAGAGGUCUCAAGCGUUGUUCGGAUUCAUUGGGCGUAAAGGGUGCGUAGGCGGCGCGGUAAGUCGGGUGUGAAAUCUUGGAGCUUAACUCCGAAACUGCAUUCGAUACUGCCGUGCUUGAGGACUGGAGAGGAGACUGGAAUUUACGGUGUAGCGGUGAAAUGCGUAGAUAUCGUAAGGAAGACCAGUGGCGAAGGCGGGUCUCUGGACAGUUCCUGACGCUGAGGCACGAAGGUCAGGGGAGCAAACGGGAUUAGAUACCCUAGUAGUCC
rnacentral:rRNA from 1 species